UACGUAGGGCGCGAGCGUUGUCCGGAAUUAUUGGGCGUAAAGAGCUCGUAGGCGGCCGGUUGCGUCUGCUGUGAAAUCCCGGGGCUUAACCCCGGGCGUGCAGUGGAUACGGGCCGGCUGGAGGCAGGCAGGGGAGAAUGGAAUUCCCGGUGUAGCGGUGAAAUGCGCAGAUAUCGGGAGGAACACCAAUUGCGAAGGCAGCUCGCUGGGACGUUACUGACGCUGAGACGCGAAAGCGUGGGGAGCAAACAGG
rnacentral:rRNA from 1 species